GUCAGAUCAGUCAUCUGGCUGCAUGCGUGUACUCAAGCACCACCUUGUGCCAACAUCGACCAUUGCACUGCUGGGUGGGCACUGUGUGUCCUAGAACACACACAAUCGCAUAUCUUUUCUGAUUUAGCCUUUGCACUGAGAAACGGCGAGCGCGACGGGAGCUCACGCCGCCGAGUCGCUUGAGGGCGCCAUCCUUCCCUUGUCCCCCCCCCGCCAUCAUCUUGUCGUGAGGGCGCAACGAAACGGGAUGCAGUCGGCUGUGGAGGAGAGUCGCCCCUUUACACAAGAGGAGGAGUCGCGGCUGGGCCUCCUCCAGCAGCGCGCCGAUGGCGGGGGAAGUCUGACGGAGGCCGAGAGCCUUGAGCUGUCUCAGCUAAAGCGUCGACACCACGCCUUCCUCGAAGAAGGAAAGCGGCUGCUGCGUGCAGGCACCCGAGCACAGGCGAACGGUGGCAGUACCACAACCUUGGAGGAAGGAGAAUGGAGCACGUCGGCGACCCUCUCACGCGCGGGAAAGGCGGCCUACUUUUGGGGCUCGCUCAUGGCCACCGCUCUGCCGGGCUACGUAGGAAGAGUCACUGGGGUGACGACGGACUUCUUGCACUGGAACUGGAUCACGGAGAACGUGGUGCUCGGUGCCAUCCCCGUCGUGACACAGGUCGGCAGUAGCGGUGAUCACCUGUCGCAGCUUCGAGCUCAGCUAGACGAGCGAAACCAGACUUUGGGGCUCGUCAUUGCGUGCCUCGAAGAGGAGGAACUUAACGGGUUUGGCAUGAACGUCAUUCAAUUCGCCAAGGAGGCAGAGUGGCGCAAACUUGUCAACCCGCAGGUGGACUACAUGCACGUCCCUAUGGCGGACACAACGGCCAACGCGCCCCUGGCGGCUGUCGCCGAGGCGGUGAUGCGCAUGGAGGCAUGCAUCAAACAGCGCAAGCAGACCGUCUACGUGCACUGCAAAGCCGGGAAAGGCCGAAGCUGGAUGGUGACGAUGUGCUACCUCACCACCUGCGGCGGCAUGCCGUUUGCCGAGGCCGUGGAGCUCAUUCAGCAGAAGCGUGUCCAGGUGAACCCGUCGCCAUCGCAGAGGCGUUUUGCCGAGGAGUUUCCCUUCCGCUUCGCUCAGUUGAGGUGCCUUCUCGACACCAACAAGGCAGACGGUCACCAUCACAAUGGAGGGGGCCACCAUCAUCAUACACACGAGACGCGCCAUCACGGCACCACUGCUGCUCCCUAGUGACGGGAAGGUGAGAGUGGAGGUAGAGGCGAGGAGUUGCCGGGCUAAAGGAUCGUUGCGGUGGUCUGUCUGCAACACAUCUUUGUGUUUGCUCGUUUUUGUUCUGGGGACUGCGGGUGCACCUGACAUCUGCAUUCCACGUCCUCCUGCGACGCCCGUGGUCGUCUCGUCUUCUGGAGCAUCUCCGUCUGCCAUCACCAUCGCGCUCUGCUGCAUGUGCGUAGUGUUGCCUUUUUUUUGGUUUCUUUUCUCUCCGUUUGUUGAGUAUCCGUAGCUGCUUGAGGAGUGAGGAGGGCGAGGCGGCGUAGAGAGGGAGGGGAAGGCAGGUGACGGUGUGGCCCUCUCCUUGUCUCGUUAUCUUUAUGCUUUCUUGGUGCUGCGGAUACCCGUACAUCAUAUGUGCCCACAUUGGGCACUUGCCAACGCUCUCUUCCUCCCUCUUCGUGCGCUCCUCCCUUACCCCUCGGCCUCCCUCAUGUACAGCCUCUUCACACAUCUCGGAAGACAAGCACACACUUAUGCAGACGCAAGUCCAUCAGUGCACUGACCACCUCUCCUGCCCCGCUGGCUGUCAACGAGAAGAUACACGUGUGGAGGAGGACAAAAGUAGGGUGCAGAGGAAGCAGCGGUGGCGAUUGGGUGGUGUCCGUAGCGAGUCGAUGAGAGGUGAAGGCACGCACACAGGCAGACAGACAGACAGACACACACACACACACACCAAAAGGGAAGGGGUGCUGUUCGCUGCUUUGCUUCUUUUUUUUUUCGUUGUUGUUUGUCUUCGCUUUCACUGCCUCCUUGGCUUUUUUCUUGCUCCGACGUGCGCAUAUUACGUGCUUUCAAUCGACGUCCACCAUCUCGCUUGCUUCUGUGACACAAGUGCUGUCCACCCCC
rnacentral:misc_RNA from 1 species